rnacentral:rRNA from 1 species
GGAGGAGCGUGCGGUUUAAUUGGAUUCAACACCGGAAAACUCACCAAGGGCGACUGUUACAUGAAAGCCAGGCUAAUGACCUUGCUUGAUUUUCAGAGAGGUGGUGCAUGGCCGUCGUCAGUUCGUACCGUAAGGCGUUCUCUUAAGUGAGAUAACGAACGAGACCCUCACUAAUAAUUGCUACUUCGAUCUCCGGACCGGAGGCACAUUAUUGGGACCGCUGGCGCUAAGUCAGAGGAAGGAGAGGUCAACGGUAGGUCAGUAUGCCCCGAAUCUCUUGGGCUACACGCGCGCUACAAAGGGCGGGACAAUGGGCUCCGACGCCGAAAGGCGAAGGUAAUCUCGAAACCCGUCCGUAGUUCGGAUUGAGGGUUGUAACUCACCCUCAUGAAGCUGGAUUCCGUAGUAAUCGCGAAUCAACAACUCGCGGUGAAUAUGCCCCUGCUCCUUGCACACACCGCCCGUCAAACCAUCCGAGUUGGGUUUCAGUGAGGUUGCCUCUGAUUAGGGUGUUCAAACUGAGAUUUAGCAAG